ACCGUCGUAUUUAUGUGUAUAAUUAAAUGUUGAUUUGUCAUUCAUCAGUUCAUUUAUUUCAUUCAUUCCAUUUUCUGUUUCAUCAUACUCAUUAUGACGUUUGACUGAGACUGACGACAUUUCUAAUACACGUCACUGCACAAUUUCAUAUACACGUCACUACACACCUGAACGAUUUAAAUAGAAUAAAAUAUAGUUGCACGCACGCGGGAAAAUAAAUGUACGCCUUAUAUAUAUAGAUAUUUAGUAUUUCAUUAACUGAAUAACUGCCUUUCUGUGUGGAUGCUUAAAUGCUAAAGCAAUAUUUGCAGGUUAGUUAAUUUUGUUAUUUGAAAAGUUUUAUUUACAGUUUCUCGAUAGAAUUUCAUUCAUUAAAAGUUAUAUGGAAAUAUUAUGAUAGUUUUAUCAUAAAAAUCUACAAUAAGAUACUAUACGGCUUUUCCGUACUUUUUACAUAGUUUUAUAGUAAGUUCAAAAUUACUGAAUUGCAGCUAUAAAUUGUCUUAUUUGCAGUAUUAAUUCAUGGCGUAAUUUUGAAGUGUUUUGUUGAAUUCAUUUGUCCGUCAGUUCUUGUCUCUAUUUAGUUUGUGGUUUUAUAUUUAGGUUAUGAAUGAAUGUAAUUGUUUUCCGAAUUUGUUGAAAGAUUUGUAUAUGUUGAAAUAAAUAUGUAUUUGCAGUUAAUAAACGUGGUAUCAAAGUCACUGUCUGAUAUUAGCCAUCACGAUAAUUUGGUGUAUGUCCGGUUGACUGUGACAAAUGGAGCCUUCAGAGAGAGAGAUGACCUAGUUUUGGUGCCACGGUUUUUAUUAGUUUAGAGUUGUCGGAGAAUCUGUCCGUACUUGAAUUUAUUUGGAUAACAGUUCAUCUAGAUAUCUACUCGGCGGCACGAUAAUCCAAAAGUAUACAGCGCUGUUGAGGUAUAUAGUGAAAAAGUUGUAAACAAUUCCCGGAGUUGGAUUGAAAACAUGUAAAGGCAUAUUGUUUGCAUUUUUGUGUGCAUUGUUGCAUGAACACCUGGUCCUUGCACUAUCAGAUUUCACAUGCACGUUAGAUCAUUUGACGGUAUGUAUAGUAGUUCUUACAUUUUUGCGUCAAGUCGUGGUAGUAGCAUGAGUCAGGUAGAUUGUAAGCAGGUUAACAUUAUUCCUGGUGGUACUUAUGAUAGGUUGUGUAGUCUGGCUGAAAAGCGACUUCAUAAUAUCGUUCAUCCUAAGAUAGUAUAUUUUGUUGCCGGGAUUCCAGAUAUAUGUUCUUUGGUGCGUAUCAAGAACGAAAAAUAUGAAGAAUCAUAUCUUUAUUUAGAGAAGGAUCAUGUUGCACUUAUACAAGAAGCUAUGUCAGAUGUUGAGAAACGUAUGAAAAAUAUAGGAUGUAAAGUUGUUUUCGCAACUAUAACAACAAUGAGUUUCCAGAAAUGGAACACUCACAGGAAAUUCAUUGGUAAAACUGUCCGCCUGAAAUAUGAGUCUGAUUACGAGAGAAUGCAGGAACAAUUAAAUAUAAUUUUACACUCAGUGAAUACAUAUAUUGUACAGAAGAACUUAGAAAAUGGUGUUGUAACCCCUUUCUUACACGCUUUUGUUCAUAAGAGGUGUAAAAGUAAAAUUCGUUAUAUCUAUUCAAUGUUAGUUGAUGGAGUACAUCCUACUCAGGCAUUGAGAUCCUCAUGGGCACGUCAUAUGGAAGCCACGAUGGAUAAAAAUGAGCGGAAUUUAUAAAUAUUUUGUAUAGGGUAUUUGCCGAUAUACAUUCUGCGAUAAUUCAGGGAUGAAUUUUUUUUUUUUUGGUGGGGGAAUAUGUCACCGUCGUAUUUAUGUGUAUAAUUAAAUGUUGAUUUGUCAUUCAUCAGUUCAUUUAUUUCAUUCAUUCCAUUUUCUGUUUCAUCAUACUCAUUAUGAUGUUUGACUGAGACUGACGACAUUUCUAAUACACGUCACUGCACAAUUUCAUAUACACGUCACUACACACCUGAACGAUUUAAAUAGAAUAAAAUAUAGUUGCACGCACACGGGAAAAUAAAU